AGAGUUUGAUCAUGGCUCAGAUUGAAGCGGGCGGGAUGCUUUACACAUGCAAGUCGAACGGUAACAGCGCUCUUCGGAUGCUGACGAGUGGCGAACGGGUGAGUAAUGCAUCGGAACGUGCCCAGUCGUGGGGGAUAACGCAGCGAAAGCUGUGCUAAUACCGCAUACGAUCUAUGGAUGAAAGCGGGGGAUCGCAAGACCUCGCGCGAUUGGAGCGGCCGAUGUCAGAUUAGCUAGUUGGUGGGGUAAAGGCCCACCAAGGCGACGAUCUGUAGCUGGUCUGAGAGGACGACCAGCCACACUGGGACUGAGACACGGCCCAGACUCCUACGGGAGGCAGCAGUGGGGAAUUUUGGACAAUGGGCGCAAGCCUGAUCCAGCAAUGCCGCGUGCAGGAAGAAGGCCUUCGGGUUGUAAACUGCUUUUGUACGGAACGAAAAGGUCUGGGUUAAUACCCUGGGCUCAUGACGGUACCGUAAGAAUAAGCACCGGCUAACUACGUGCCAGCAGCCGCGGUAAUACGUAGGGUGCAAGCGUUAAUCGGAAUUACUGGGCGUAAAGCGUGCGCAGGCGGUUUUGUAAGACAGGCGUGAAAUCCCCGGGCUCAACCUGGGAAUGGCGCUUGUGACUGCAAAGCUGGAGUGCGGCAGAGGGGGAUGGAAUUCCGCGUGUAGCAGUGAAAUGCGUAGAUAUGCGGAGG
rnacentral:rRNA from 1 species